rnacentral:pre_miRNA from 1 species
ACAACAACUUUCGGACCGUCGGUCUACCGAAUAAUAUCACCCGCUCCGUGGAAGAUCUUCCCUUUGUCGUACACC